CCUACGGGAGGCAGCAGUGAGGAAUAUUGGUCAAUGGGAGAGAGCCUGAACCAGCCAAGCAGCGUGAAGGAAGACGGCCCUAUGGGUUGUAAACCUCUUUUAUCGGAGAAUAAAACCCAGUACGUGUCCCGUUCUGCGUGUAUCCUAUGAAAAAGGAUCGGCUAACUCCGUGCCAGCAGCCGCGGUAAUACGGAGGAUGCGAGCGUUAUCCGGAUUUAUUGGGUUUAAAGGGUGCGUAGGCGGUCCCUUAAGUCAGCUGUGAAAUUUCGCGGCUCAACCGCAUCAGAGCCGUUGAUACUGGCAGUCUUGAGUGGGGGAGAAGUACGCGGAAUGCGCGGUGUAGCGGUGAAAUGCAUAGAUAUCGCGCAGAACUCCGAUUGCGAAGGCAGCGUACUGGAGUGAGACUGACGCUGAGGCACGAAAGUGUGGGGAUCGAACAGGAUUAGAUACCCCAGUAGUC
rnacentral:rRNA from 1 species